UACAGAGGUCCCAAGCGUUGUUCGGAUUCAUUGGGCGUAAAGAGCUCGUAGGCGGUUCGGUAAGUCGAAUGUGAAAUCUCCACGCUCAACGUGGAGGGGUCAUUCGAAACUGCCGUGACUUGAGUACGGUAGGGGAGUGUGGAAUUCCCGGUGUAGCGGUGAAAUGCGCAGAGAUCGGGAGGAACACCCGUAGCGAAGGCGGCACUCUGGGCCGAUACUGACGCUGAGGAGCGAAAGCGUGGGGAGCAAACAAG
rnacentral:rRNA from 1 species